AGCGUACACGGUGGAUGCCUAGGCAGUCAGAGGCGAUGAAGGGCGUGCUAAUCUGCGAAAAGCGUCGGUAAGGUGAUAUGAACCGUUACAACCGGCGAUACCCGAAUGGGGAAACCCAGUGUGUUUCGACACACUAUCAUGUCAUGAAUACAUAGUGGCAUGAGGCGAACCGGGGGAACUGAAACAUCUAAGUACCCCGAGGAAAAGAAAUCAACCGAGAUUCCCCCAGUAGCGGCGAGCGAACGGGGAGGAGCCCAGAACCUGAAUCGGCUUGUGUGUUAGUGGAAGCGUCUGGAAAGUCGCGCAGCAAAGGGUGAUAGCCCCGUACACUAAAAUGCACAGGUCGUGAGUUCGAUGAGUAGGGCGGGACACGUGACAUCCUGUCUGAAUAUGGGGGGACCAUCCUCCAAGGCUAAAUACUCCUGACUGACCGAUAGUGAACCAGUACCGUGAGGGAAAGGCGAAAAGAACCCCGGCGAGGGGAGUGAAAUAGAACCUGAAACCGUGUACGUACAAGCAGUGGGAGCACCUUCGUGGUGUGACUGCGUACCUUUUGUAUAAUGGGUCAGCGACUUAUAUUUUGUAGCAAGGUUAACCGUAUAGGGGAGCCGUAGGGAAACCGAGUCUUAACUGGGCGAAUAGUUGCAAGGUAUAGACCCGAAACCCGGUGAUCUAGCCAUGGGCAGGUUGAAGGUUGGGUAACACUAACUGGAGGACCGAACCGACUAAUGUUGAAAAAUUAGCGGAUGACUUGUGGCUGGGGGUGAAAGGCCAAUCAAACCGGGAGAUAGCUGGUUCUCCCCGAAAGCUAUUUAGGUAGCGCCUCGUGAACUCAUCUUCGGGGGUAGAGCACUGUUUCGGCUAGGGGGCCAUCCCGGCUUACCAAACCGAUGCAAACUCCGAAUACCGAAGAAUGUUAUCACGGGAGACACACGGCGGGUGCUAACGUCCGUCGUGAAGAGGGAAACAACCCAGACCGCCAGCUAAGGUCCCAAAGUCAUGGUUAAGUGGGAAACGAUGUGGGAAGGCAUAGACAGCCAGGAUGUUGGCUUAGAAGCAGCCAUCAUUUAAAGAAAGCGUAAUAGCUCACUGGUCGAGUCGGCCUGCGCGGAAGAUGUAACGGGGCUAAACCAUGCACCGAAGCUGCGGCAGCGACGCUUAGGCGUUGUUGGGUAGGGGAGCGUUCUGUAAGCCGUUGAAGGUGGCCUGUGAGGGUUGCUGGAGGUAUCAGAAGUGCGAAUGCUGACAUAAGUAACGAUAAAGCGGGUGAAAAGCCCGCUCGCCGGAAGACCAAGGGUUCCUGUCCAACGUUAAUCGGGGCAGGGUGAGUCGACCCCUAAGGCGAGGCUGAAAAGCGUAGUCGAUGGGAAACAGGUUAAUAUUCCUGUACUUGGUGUUACUGCGAAGGGGGGACGGAGAAGGCUAGGCUAGCCGGGCGACGGUUGUCCCGGUUUAAGCGUGUAGGGGGUGUGACCUGGUAAAUCCGGUUACAUACUAACCCUGAGGCGUGAUGACGAUGCACUACGGUGCAGAAGUAGUUGAUGCCCUGCUUCCAGGAAAAGCCUCUAAGCUCUAGGUAACAUUAAAUCGUACCCCAAACCGACACAGGUGGUCAGGUAGAGAAUACCAAGGCGCUUGAGAGAACUCGGGUGAAGGAACUAGGCAAAAUGGUGCCGUAACUUCGGGAGAAGGCACGCUGGCAUGUAGGUGAAGUCCCUUGCGGAUGGAGCUGAAGCCAGUCGAAGAUACCAGCUGGCUGCAACUGUUUAAUAAAAACACAGCACUGUGCAAACACGAAAGUGGACGUAUACGGUGUGACGCCUGCCCGGUGCUGGAAGGUUAAUUGAUGGGGUCAGCCGCAAGGCGAAGCUCUUGAUCGAAGCCCCAGUAAACGGCGGCCGUAACUAUAACGGUCCUAAGGUAGCGAAAUUCCUUGUCGGGUAAGUUCCGACCUGCACGAAUGGCGUAAUGAUGGCCAGGCUGUCUCCACCCGAGACUCAGUGAAAUUGAACUCGCUGUGAAGAUGCAGUGUACCCGCGGCAAGACGGAAAGACCCCGUGAACCUUUACUAUAGCUUGACACUGAACAUUGAGCCUUGAUGUGUAGGAUAGGUGGGAGGCUUUGAAGCGUGGACGCCAGUCUGCGUGGAGCCAUCCUUGAAAUACCACCCUUUAAUGUUUGAUGUUCUAACUCGGCCCCGUGAUCCGGGGUGAGGACAGUGUCUGGUGGGUAGUUUGACUGGGGCGGUCUCCUCCCAAAGAGUAACGGAGGAGCACGAAGGUUAGCUAAUCACGGUCGGACAUCGUGAGGUUAGUGCAAAGGCAUAAGCUAGCUUGACUGCGAGAGUGACGGCUCGAGCAGGUACGAAAGUAGGUCUUAGUGAUCCGGUGGUUCUGAAUGGAAGGGCCAUCGCUCAACGGAUAAAAGGUACUCCGGGGAUAACAGGCUGAUACCGCCCAAGAGUUCAUAUCGACGGCGGUGUUUGGCACCUCGAUGUCGGCUCAUCACAUCCUGGGGCUGAAGUAGGUCCCAAGGGUAUGGCUGUUCGCCAUUUAAAGUGGUACGCGAGCUGGGUUUAGAACGUCGUGAGACAGUUCGGUCCCUAUCUGCCGUGGGCGUUGGAAGAUUGAGAGGGGUUGCUCCUAGUACGAGAGGACCGGAGUGAACGCACCACUGGUGUUCGGGUUGUCAUGCCAAUGGCAUUGCCCGGUAGCUAAGUGCGGAAAAGAUAAGCGCUGAAAGCAUCUAAGCGCGAAACUUGCCUCAAGAUGAGUCUUCCCUGGGCCUUUAAGGCCCCUGAAGGAACGUUUAAGACUAAGACGUUGA
rnacentral:rRNA from 1 species